UCCAAAAGACUGAAUGCUAUGGCAGGGCGUGUGAGCAGAGAGAGCUGAAGUUUGACACAGGAAGCAAUGCUCACAUAGCAAGGAAGAAAGCCUCAGCGAGGAUUAUUAUCUGGCUGAGGAAAGAAACUCUGAUAUGUCAAGAUAAAUUUCAAAACAAAACAAAACAACAAAAAAAGCAAAACUGGAGAAGAAUGUCCAAGAGUUGUGGUAGCAAGCAUGGUUCAAGAACCUGUGCUGAACCAUGGCUGAAAAGAGCCAAGAUGCCCAGCGUGAAUGGAGGAAGGAAGGCAGAAAGGAAGAGGAGGAGGGAGGAGGAAGGAAGAGAUCGGUGGAUGAGAGACAGAGGAAGAGAGGAAGAGAAGGAAGGAAGAAAAGAAGAAAAAGAAACUAGAACAAGAUAUUUCAGUAUUGAAGGGAAAACAAUCACUGAGUAGAAGUCACCUCGUCAACUUCUUCUACAAGUGUGAAGGAGAAAUGAACAUUUUCGAAUAAAGAACAGUGGGUCUGAUGACAGCGGGUCGCCAGUGCCACUGAAGCACUGCCAGAGCUCUGACAGCGAGGAUGCUGGGGUGCUUCAGCAGAAAUGAUUCGGGGCCUCCGAUUCUCCAUAUAACAAUGUCGGUGAAUGGUCCUGUCUUUACCACUUCUUGCCACGGAAGCUAGUCUCUCCUCACAUAUUGAAAAGUUCACCUUCCUGCCUCUCACCCACCUCUCACCUUUUUAAAACGUCCAUACGUGUUUUGUGUAGCUGUUUUCAUCUCCCACUUUUCAAGCUUCCCCCCCCCCAAUGUGGCUAUUUUGAGAACACAAAUACAUUCCCGCUAGUCUGAACAUCAUCUUCUAAGCAGAUGCAGGUGGUGCUCUGGCCUAGGCUAACACCAUCUCCCGCCUCUCGGAAGCCAGCCUGACAGUAGGAAGCAGACAGACAUCCUCCCUCUUUCGCUUUCUGUGUACAGCCAUGGGGCCAGUGGGGGGAAAUAGGAGAAAUGAUAGAAUCACACAAAAUCCAAGUCGUUUCUGACAGUGUCCAGGACUUACAAAGCGGAUGUAUUCCAUCUUUCUCUGACUGGUUCAGAACUCAAGCGGGGAAAGGUGUCUGUGAUUAGGUUCUGAUGCCUUUCUUUCCCUCAUGAGCCCUGUUUCUACCCUGAUUAGUCCACCGCCGGCCUUUGGCAAAGAUCCUAACUCCCUCUGCCAUCACAUGUCUUGUCAUUGCAGAUGGUGUUGAAUAUAGCAACAAGUACUCCACCUUUGUCAUUUGGAACAUUAAAAAAAACUUUAUUAGUAAUAUGAAUAUUACUAAUUAAAAGAAACAUUAGUAACUAA